CUGAUUGGGGAGGGUCUAAGGAACAUUCUGAUCAAAUUUGGGCCAAGUGCUGCCAAUGGUCAAAUUAGGGCCUAAUAUGGAAAUACAUUUGUGGUCAUAACUUCUGAACCAAAAUUUAAAAGCCAGGCAUCCUUGGGUCAUCUUUGGUCGAGCAAAGCUCAAUGCACCCUAGGACGUCAAUUUCCCUCUAUUAGGUUUUUUUUGACUAUUCCUCCUAUGAAUUUUCUCCAAUCAUCACCACAUUUGGCACACAUCAUCUUCAGAUAAGCCUCACAAAACUUAUCAAAGGAAUUUUUAAAAGUCCAAAGGGUUUGCCCGUAAUGGGCCAAUGAAUGUGACGGCGAAGCCGCCAAACAGGAAGUGAAGCUAUGUCUUAGCAACGACUUUGUACACUGACACAAAACUUGGUAGACAUCUUCAGAACCAUGACCCGAGGGUAUACACCAAAGUUCGUGAUAGCGCCACCUAUUGGUCAAAAGUUACAAUAACAUGCCUAAAAUGCUUACAUCUAACUGCCAUUUUUGCUACUCCUCCUCCAAAUUUUGUCCAAUCUUCACCAAAUUUGGCUGACAUCAUCUUGAGACUUGUCUGUACAAAAUUUAUCAAAGGAAUGUUGAUAUUAACGCUCUGGUAAAUGCAGAAAACAGGAUGUGAGGGUGUAUCUCAGCAAUACAUUGACGUAUCAUCACGAAACUUGAUAAGUAUCUUCAGGACCAUGCCCUGAAUGUACCCAAGAUGUUUUGUUUUUUCUGCAGCACCUUGUGGUCAAGAACUGUAACAACUUUCUUUUUUUUCUUUAUAUCAUUUGAAGAGUUUGUGAUAAAUUCACAGUUCAUUUUUCCUAUACUUCCCUGGAGGAUACAGAAGUGAAUGCACACCAACAUCUGAAAUUCAAGUGUACUUCCUGUCGACCAUCUUGGAUUUUGUUAAAAACUGUUUUUUCGCUACUCCUCCUACAAAUUUUCUCCAAUCAUCACCAAAUUUGACACACUUCAUCUUCAGACGAAGCCUCACAAAACUUAUCAAAAGAGUUUUGAAUAUUCCAAAGAAUCUGAUGGCGAAGCUGCCAAACAGGAUUUGAGGCUGUGUCUCAGCAAAGACUUUGCACACUGACAUAAAACAUGGUAGGCAUCUUCAGGACCAUGACCUGAGGCUAUACAACAAAUUGCGUGCCAGCGCCACCUACUGGUCAAAAGUAACAACAGCAUGUUAAAAAAAUGCUUACAUCUAACUGCCAUUUCCUUCUACAGUCAGAGAAUUCCACCACUGUCUUUGGUCAAAACAUAAACAUCAUGAGUGAAACUACAAAUCAUUCUGGAAUCCCUUUGCCUAAAGUUAUGGCUCUGCUUUCCUGUGAAUGUGUGGAUCACAGACUCUGGGUGCUUGCAACUUUAAAUAUUAUUAUUAUUAUUAUUAUUAUUAUUAUUAUCUAAAAGUGUCUGGCCAUCAGAGACCAUAAGUUGUUGAGACACCAAACUUGGUGCGAUGGUCAAAAAUCCCACUGACUACUCAGGUGCGUUGACACAUCUGUCGGACACUAGGUGGAGCUAUAAUAAGCACCUUUGGUUCAUAACUGUGGAACCGUAAGAGCUAGAAUCAAAAUUCUUUUUUCCACUGAAUCCUUGAGUCAUGCCCUACAAAAUGUAUAUCAAAAUAUAUAUCAUAUCUAUCGUGAAAAUCUUUCCGCCAUUUUGAAUUUAUUUUCUCCUAAGCGGUUAGUCCAAUUUGCACAAAACUUGGCAAGCAUGACAAAAACUUAUUAAAAGACUUUUGAUUCUUCAAAGCAUUGCAAAGAUAUUAGAGAAUUAAUUGGUCAGGCAACUCCCAUUUUUAUGAAUUGACCUAUAUCUGCCGAACGCAGUGUCCAAACUUAACUAAGCUUGAUUGACGUAGUCAACAGCAAAUUCUGAGGAACCACACAAAUUCCAGUCAUAGGGGGCGCUACAACUGAAAAAUCACUGUAACUCCGCAACAGUACGAUCAAUGAAGUUGAACACUGGUAGGCAUCUUCUUUGGUGGACUUCCUAACACAUCCUCUAAUAUCACUCAGAUACAUAAAGAAAAAGGCCACCAGCAGCCAAUCAAAUUUCAGCAGCUAAUAAGGUCAAAUCUGAAUGGCCUCCCGGUAUGAAAAUAGAUAUCUUUGUACAAUAUAUGAAAACAAAUAUUUGUACCAAAUUUUGUGAAAAUAGGCAACAAGUUGGCGCAAUAAUAAGCAACUUUAUGUUUUAGCUAAUGACUCCGCAACUGUGUGCGAUAGAAUAAAAAAAUUCUUGUUUCUUCAGAAUCCUUGCUUUAAACCCUAACAAAUGUAAAUCUCAUUGGUAUGUUGAUCUAUAAAGUUUAUCUGCCAUUCUAAUAUUUAAAAAAACUACUUCUUUGAACUUAUCCUAGGAACUAAACUUGGCAUGCAUGAUCCCCAGGCCCUCAGGACAAAAAAACGAUCAAAAGAAUUUUGAUUCGUCAAAGUGUUGCGAAGAUAUAAGUUAAUUAAUUGCUCAGGUGAUGCCCAUUUUUACAAAUUGAUCUAUAUCUGCUGAACGCAAUGUCCAAACUUAAAAAAACUUGAUAUCGGCCGCAAGGUGGCGCUAUAAUAAGCAAAUUUGCAUUUUUGCUAAUAAUCCAUGCAUGCUAGCAUAUAAUUCUUGCUUCCUACGAAUCCUUGCAUCAAGUGCUACAAAAUAUGUAUCUCGUUUUUAUUUUUAUGUAUAAAGUGUAUCCUGAGUUUUAUAAAAUUAGUUUGCGAACAAAUGUGUGAAAUGCUCAACGAUGAAUAAAUGUUAUCUUAAUUUUUAUAUGUCCAAAUUUUGAAAACACAUCUGUCAAGUUGGCAGACAUGAUUAAAUAAAAAGACUCAGCACCUGAGCAAACUUUUGGUCUUUUAUGAUUUGCCACGCCUACUUUGAGAGGUGCAGGCUAUUUGUUGGUACCUCGAAUAGUGAAGGCUACAGCAGGGGGUAGAGCUUUCUCUUACAAAGCCCCACAGUUAUGGAACAGCCUUGCAAUUAGUGUUCGGGGCUCAGGCACAGUCUCUGUGUUUAAGUCUAGGCAGAAAACAUAUUUGUUUAGUCAAGCCUUUUGUGAAUAACUUUUUCUUAGGUAAAGGAGCAGAUCUGAAGGGUUCACAGGCAUAGAGUGUCGUGGUGAACUGGGAUGUUUGGACGCUGUCGCCCUCCCACUCUCACGGGUUCUCUCAGGUUUGUUGACGGUGGAGUGGCUGGCCGCUUUAUGUCUCAGGAUGGCCUCAUGUCUGUGUUACCUUGUGACUCUCCCUUUUAGUUAUGCUGCCAUAGCUAGUCUUGCCGGAGUCCCUGCUCGUACAUUGCACGCAAAGUACGUUAUCCUUAACCAUUAUGGGACAAAAGCUUACCUAACAAUCUCUCCCUCUCUCCCUCUCUCUCCCUCUCUCUGUCGAGCUACACAUGCCACUCCUGAGAUACCAGUGAGCCUGACUCCUUCUGCUCUCUGGACCUGCCUGAUCCAUCCCGAUGCCCUACUUCUGGUUGGAGUUAUCAUCGGUUGGAGAUCGCUCAAUGCUGUGGUGGCUUUGGGGCUGCGGUUGCUGCAAGCUGUUUUGCACUCAGGACUCCAUCAGUGCUACACAUGCUACUCCUGAGAUGCCAGUGAUCGUGACCCCUUCUGCUCUCCGGACCUGUCUGACCCAUCUUGAUGCCCUACUUCUGGUUGGAGUUCUCAUUGGUCGAGUUUGCUCGCUGCUGCUGGGGGUGGCCCCAUAUGGACGGCCUGAAGAACCGUUUGGAUUGCUGGGGAUGGUGCCACCUGGGGGCUGUGGACUUGGCUUGGGGAUCUCAUAUGGGGAGUUGUACUGUGAUGGCUUGGGACUGUGAUUGCUGUGGUGGCUUUGGGGCUGCAGUUGCCACGAGCACCUUCGUACCUAACCCUAACCCUAACCCUAACCAAUUGAAUUGAAACCAUUUGAUGGAGCACCUCAUUCAGAACAAUGUCAGUCAAAUUGUUCGUUAAAUAUUUGCAAGUACUUAAAAAACAUACUUUUGUGAACUAGUCUUAGGUUUUUUGCGCAACCAAAGUAAACUCAGUGCAGGACAAUUGUGUGGACAGCUUAGAUUAAUAAUUAUCAAAAAAAAGUUUAACUUUCGAUUCAUCGCCGUGACACCAGGCAAAAAUUUUGAAGAGCCACUUUUACUGUUAGUGCAUAAAAGGCACUGAACUACAGUACCCAUCAGCCACUGGAUGUCACAUGACCACACCACAUGUUCCACUGUUCAUUCACACCUGUUUCUUGUUUCACCCAAAUGAGCACCACUACUGAAGUUCAAGUUUUUCUAUGUCUGUUUGUCAAGCUUCUGUUGCUGUUGAUGUUGUGUCCGUUUUGCCUGCCAUAGUCUUUCUCAUAGUCUGUAUGCUGUGUAGUUUUGUGUUUUCCUGCAUUUUCCUGCUGUCAUUAUUUUUAUGAUUAAUACAAUUUAAUUGAUGAUGUAUGAUUACUUUUAACCAUUUAACAAUAUAUUAAAAUGGUUUUAACAAUUUAAUAAUUUCCUUGCAGGAAAAUCCAACUAGGAUAACUAACAGGGAGACCUUAGAUGUCUUGCCUGUUUUUAUAAUAUUAUUGACAUAUAGAGGAGUGAGUUGUUCAAAAACUGGGGUGGGGAUGUUGGUUUAAAACACCUCAUUCAUAUCCUUCCUAAAUUAGAAUAGUUUAUGUAAAUUGUCACAUAAAAUGUGAGUUGUCACGUGUGUUUUAUGUGUUAUAAAUAUAUAGAAUUUAUAAACAUUAUACUCGGGUAUGUUUAAGGUAUUUUGACUUUAAUGGAGCAACAUUUUGACACAGAAGUACCUCUUGUACAAUAUCUGUGUUCUUUUAAACAUAUAUGCACUAUUAGCAUCUCACCUUGAAGGACAUAACUGGAGGCUCUUCUUCAAAUUAUAAACCUUUGUGACUUUGUUGCAGAUUGAGGAUACUCAUUUUUGGAGAUAAAGUCGACAGUUUCUUUAUAGCUCUAUCAUUCUCUAUCAUUAGUAUUUGUUUUCUUCACUCUUCAAAAUUGACACACUUGUAAAUGAACAUACUGAAAUACUGGAGCUGAAAUGUGACACCUGCUAAAAAGUAGGCAUACGCCAGUGAGCGAUGCAACGUCCUGCGUAUGCAUAUAACUAUCUCAAGGUAUUGUCAACCAGUGGCGUGAUUUUGCGGCAGGACUACAUGUAAGACACUGAGAUUUAGUAAAUGUUACAUAUUUAAUUAUAUGAGUAUUUAUAUAAAUAAUUAUAUAAAUAAAAAUAAUAUAUAUUUGUAAUUAUAUAAGAAAUGUAUUUAUUUGUUUGUUUGUUUGUUUACAUAUCACCAACUAUAGACAGUAUAGACAUUACCAGAGUGAAUGUGGUGAACAAUAAAGACGGUUUGGGUGAAAUAAAGGAGGGUAACAGAUUUCGGUAACUAUUUAUUAUGAACUGUCAGAUUUGGUGACCCUUCUGUAUCUCUGGGACUGUUUAUGUAGUGGAUAGAUGUUGAGGUGCCUGUGUCUUUAAGCCACAGCAACGGUGUUGUGUCGCACCUGUAUGACAUCACUAGAUGCGACUGAUUUGUAACAAUUGUUAGCCUCGGAGCUCCUUUAAAAGCACGGCGUAGGCGAUGCUAAGGUAAGUGGCAGUUUUUGUUGGUUUGCCCGUCUACCCUGGGUUUUCUCCUGUGAGUCGGAGCCUGUAGAGGUCUGUGCCUUGAUUGUAAAGGGUGCAGUUGUUGGAGUCCUGCUCCAGGAGUUUGUUGCUGCUUGUUUGCGCUUAUAGUGCGUAUAUCUCAUCUGUGAGUGUUGUAAGCCUGAGGCUGUGUUGCAUCGGUUCCUGCGUUCCGGUAUGUAGCUUUCUUGCUAUAUUAGUAUAUUGGCUUUAGUAUGCCACUUGAUUCACUGUUACCUGCCCCUAUUAGGCUGUGUGGUCGGUUGACUGGGAGGUUUCCCCUUUUUUUUUAAAGGAGCUCCUCUGCAUCGCUGCUUGUGCAGGUGACUUCUGCUGCUGAUUUGCUGCUGUGACUUCAAACCAUUGGGGCCGUCUGCUGACGGCGAGCUGCUGUUUUGUUUCUAGCGAAUUUCUUUAUUGUUUUGUUUCUGUGAUACUGUGUAUUCAGUUUUUUUUUUUUUUUGUAAUUGUUACGCAGUGUGUAUAAUUAGAUCAUCAGCGCGCUAAAAUCGUUAGAGUGGUGAUGUUUGUACGAGUGUGUUUUUUUUGCGGGUAGUUGGUAGUGUGUUUGUGUGCGGUGCUAGCGUGUGUUUGUGUGCGCAUGUGAGCAUGUUGAUUUAAUUUUGUUGGUAUAUGUUUUUUUUUCUUUCUUUUUUUUUUUUUUUUUUCUUUGUUCCUGUAUUUUUGUUCAUUUCUUUUUGUGUGUUCUGUUUCAGGAGUUGGGGGACGCCGGCAGGGAGGCUUGGCACCUGGUGGCUGGGUACCUGUGUUUGUGUGUGUGUGUGUUUCACCUUUCUGGCAGUGUAGUGUCACCUGGGUGUGCUGUGCAGUGUAUGUGUGCGCUUCACGUGUGGUCUUUUUGGACCCUCCUUCCAGAUCGCCUCCCUGUGGUAAGCCCCAUCCUAAUUUAUGUGUGUGUUCUGUC